GCUGCUACUUGGGUGAAUGUCGUUCCCAUUAACCCCACUGUGUGCAUCUCCUUCUUUAACCCCUUUUGUGCUAGCAUCCUUUGUAGCCCCUUUGCAAUGAUGGCCUGCAAUGUUGUCUUCCUGAAGAGCAGAACAGGCCCUGAUCACUGUACGUUGGGGAAAUGUACCAGGUACAAUAGUCAGUAGUAAAAGGGUUAAGGAAGCUUUUCUUAAACAGUUGCUUGGCAAAGGGAGUGUUAAAAAGAAGGGAAGUUUGUACAAUGGGCACAGAAUACAGAAAUCUUUAUAAAGAGGGAAUGCUUCAUUUGUUUGUUUUUAUACGUACUAUUUUAAGCAAAUCCCCAAGAUUAUAAUUGAAAGAUGGGUUUUUGUAAAAAAGGAAAAUGUGUUUGUAAAACUAUAAAACAAUUGGCAGAAGGACUCAAAGGCAGAUGUAGCUCCCAAAACUGCUUUUAACUUUUUUUUAAUUGUCUAACUUUCAAAUGUAUGGUGUCUCUUUAUAGAAUGUUCAGUGAGAUAUGUAGAGAGCCAUGCUCCUGUAUCCAGGACCUCCCGCUGAUUCAAAUCCACACAGGUCUCCAGUGACGUAACGUGUUUCCAACUGCUGCUAUUUGAACUGCAUAAUAUAAGAUUUGUGUUAGGCCAGUUCACAGUGGCAAGAUCAAGACUCUCUAUACUAAGACCUUUUAAAAUCUUUUUUUAUUUGGAGGUGCAGCUGUAACUAUUAAAAGGAGGGCUGUCGUGCUGUGUGAUGCAUCAUGGCAAUGCUGUUGUAUCGGUGGGACAUCCAACAUUUCCACUAUAACCCCUGUCUUUUGAGGGAUUUGUACCUGACAUAUUUAAAAAAAAAAAAAUUGACUUGGAUUUGUAUUACAGCUUCUUGACUUUAUAGAAAAUUACUACUUUCUG